GCAGGGAUAGCUCAGUUGGGAGAGUGUUAGAUUGAAGAUCUAAAGGUUAUGUGUUCGAUUCAUGUUCACUGCA
rfam:Ipomoea nil DNA, scaffold: scaffold2144, cultivar: Tokyo-kokei standard.